AUUCUCUCCCCUCUCCCCUCCCAGCUCUACUGGCUUGGGACAAAGAUAGUCUCUACUCCUUUGCAACCGCAUCUUAAAUUUUGGCACUGGAACCUAGGCUGGGUACCAGGCAGCCAGGGAGUUGCAAACUUUGGGGAAGAAGUGAGAACAAGAGGAGCAGGGAAGAAGGGGAACAUGGGAACACGGAUGAGAAAGCUGGAUCUGGCCCUCUGAGAAAACAGCCCCGUGUGGAGCCAGGACUUUGGUUUCUCAUGACCUUUCUCCUCAAGCCGAGGCUUCAGAUUAUAACUAGGAUGAACAAAGACUUUAAAAUCGUGUAUGUCUCCUGUUUAUGGAGAAAAAGCUUCUAUGGGGCCACCCGCGCAGAGUGCGCAAAACGUCAAGAAUUUACUUGGCUGGUAAAAACGUGACUAGAAACUUGGGAAUUUUCCUGGGCUAACCGCAGCCUGACUUCUGGUGGUAACACUAACCUUCCUUCCUCUGCCAGAAUCCCUGGGUCCGUCUGGCGAGGGCCCCAUCUCUUAGGUGGAAGGGAAGGCAGGUGAGCGUAUGAGCAGGUGUCACCACCUAGAGUUUGAACUGAACUCUUGAAAGUCAAGUUGGGAUAGGUCUGAGGCGUCGCCAGACGCCUUGAAAUAUCAUCCAGUGAAAGUGUGCAAACGACACAGAUGAAGAGUCACUGGACAGCGGAGUUUGCACCUGGGGCUCGGUGGCUUCUCAGCUGUGACAAACCCCUGGAAUAGGUGUUUCCCGGAAGAUCUCACGAAGGCUCCGCCCCGCGUGGUCCUUACGUGGGCUGGAGUCCUGAGUAGAACUUAUCCUAACCAGGUGGAGAUUUAAAUGACUGCAUCCACUCCCAAGAUUUAUUGCAAGAGUGAUUGAUGUUAUAAACCAGGAAAGGACUCUUCCCACAGCAGGGAUGACAGAAAUAUCAAGUUGAAGUUGCCUUUGUCUGCAUGCAACGCGUAAGCCAGUGCUACAACACAGACAGCUUUGAGAGAACACCCACCAAGCCUGCUCGAUGGUCCCUGCAGAUUUCCAAACCAACCUUCCUUGGGUUGCACAGCCAUCUCUUUUCUCAGUUUCAGUAGGACCCGAAAGACAUCUGCAAAGUGGCCACAAGUCUCCUAAUGAGGUGGUGAUAAAGACUAUUGAUUGGGGCAUUGUUACAUACCAGAUUGCUAAGCUGUGGCAAUUUUUAUCUUCCUUCACCUUUGUCUUUUCCCUCUUUUGGGUGUGUGUGUGUGACAGAGACAACCACAGAAAUGCACACAUUCCUCUGAAGACUGCUGCUGUUUCUUCUGUUUUGUUUUGUUUUGUUUUGUUUUUCAGUGUUGGAAACUUAAAACUAACAGUUUCUGGAGGGGAGCAUAGCUAGUCUUUUAUCAUAACCAAGUUUUUAUGACUGCAAUUAAUUUUUCUUUAUAGCAAUGUAAGCAAUAAUUAAGUCUCUUGUUCAUUUAUCUCCCGGUGAUAUACUCAGGCUGGGAAGGAGUCGUGGGUUGAUAAUGAGGCUUGAGAGAGUCUGAAUUUUUGCAAGAAAUGACCACCAGUUUGGGGAUAGGAUGCGCAGAGGGCUGCCAGUUAGUUAUCUUGAUGCCAAAUUCUGAAGAAAGGAAAUUAAUAAUACUUCUUUUUUCCCCCCUGCUUGAAUUUUGUAUCUAUCUCUGCUAAUAAACACGGAGGGACAGAUGGAUGGGGAAGUGAACGAUGGCUGGAUUCCACUGAGCAGAUCAGCUAGGCUGUAACUUAAGCUCUGCCAAAUUCUCCCCAAAUAUAAACUAUAUUCUGUGAGAAGAAAAGCACUUCGAGGAAGCUAAUUAACCCUUACAACAACUGGAGGAUUGCUUUGAACAUGGUCACUUCGCUGCUGUAAACAGAAGAUUCAAGGUUUGAACACAGCAGGUAGAUUCAUCCUUACCUUGUUUUUAAACCACAGCUCAUGUAGGCAUCUGGCCAGUUUAUCCUGUACCUCUAACAAACUGUCUCCCUAGGAAGGCUCUCUUUGAGAGAUUUUAGUGCUAAGGAAAAUUUAUCUGCAGAAGUUGUAAAAAGAAGAUUAGAGGAGGAAUGUGUCCUUGAACUUCACUCCUGCUUUAUCCUCGGGAGCGCUCUCAGGAAGUUCAUACUUGAUUCUGUUGCAUGUAGAUGGUUUGCUUCCUUUUUUAUGGGAAGGAAAACAUCUCAGGCUUCCUUUGAACUGAAUUCUAUGCCGUAACCUUACGUUCUGGGGCAUGGGGGAAGUCUUCGUUUAAAUUGAAGUGUUUGUCCUUUCCUUUCACUCUUAGUUCAGAGCUAGCAGGGAUCCUGUAGCCACCUGAUCUACCAUCAAUGAACCCUAUGGAGAUGGGCUGCCACAGCGCUAAGAUUUAUGGUUGACAAAUGGCAAUUAUAAUAACUAAAGAAA
rnacentral:lncRNA from 1 species